UACGUAGGGUGCGAGCGUUGUCCGGAAUUACUGGGCGUAAAGAGCUCGUAGGUGGUUUGUCGCGUUGUUCGUGAAAACUCACAGCUCAACUGUGGGCGUGCGGGCGAUACGGGCAGACUGGAGUACUGCAGGGGAGACUGGAAUUCCUGGUGUAGCGGUGGAAUGCGCAGAUAUCAGGAGGAACACCGGUGGCGAAGGCGGCAUCCUGGACCGAAACUGACGCUGAGGAGCGAAAGCCAGGGGAGCAAACGGG
rnacentral:rRNA from 1 species